GCUAUCCAAGCACUGCAGUGAAUUAGGAUGGAUGGCAAACACACCUUAAUGUAACCACAUAGUAGCUUCUCUGCUCUGAAAACCCAGGGAAUCCCAUGGGAAAGAAACCCACAGCUGGCUUACCUGCAGGACCUGAUCCAGUGGCUAAACACACAAGCACAGGAGCUGAGCCAACUGAAGCAGAAGCUAGACAUUUUUGAGAGCAAUGCGUUACAGAGGUAAGACAUAAUAGUAAAAUACACAGACUUUGACUCUCAGCAUGAAUGAAUGCUGUUUAUUGGUCUUACAGAGACAGUAAAAGAAUGUCAGAUCCUUUCAAUUAUCCCCAAAGUGAGCAAUCAGGGAGCGGUAACAUCUGUAGGGAUUUUGAACCAGCAUCUCCGCAUGAUUCAGAACAACUUGAAAGGCAAGUUGUGUUCCUGCUACUGCUUGUGAAGGCUACCAUUUCAUAACGGCCUGUUUCAGAUCAGAUCUAUGUCCAGGAUGAAGGUAACUCCCAAGAGACCUACAAGAAGGGGGAGCAGAUCCACCACCACCCACCUCCCAGGUGACUGCAUUAACUGCGGGCACAGCUGUGCAGGAAGGGUGCGCAUUUAGGUGCUGAGCCCAAAGGGGAUGAGCCACGCUAAUCAGAAGCUAUGGAGAAGCUGCACCACAAAAGCCAGCCGAGGAGAACAGCUGCAGCACAAGCAGCAAUUACUCGCAUCAAGUCAGGGAGGAAGCCUCCUAAGACAGAAGGCAAGGCAGGCUUUCCAGAAACACCGGGCAGAUGGCAUCGGAGGAGACCACCGAGACCCCUGCUCCGGCAGGGCCGCCCCGAGCAGGGCACCCAGGUGGCUUCCAGGGUCUCGGAGGAGGGGAGCCCAGAGGCCACGGAGGUGGCAGGCAGCUGGGGGCCGAUGGCUCUUAAUUCUUGGGUGCUGAAGGGUAGAGAGACGGAGGUUUCAGUGGGCUCCCAGCAGGCAGCUGGUCCCUUGCCUUGCAAGGCGUUACCUCAGGGUGCUGGGCAGCCUGCACGGCCUGCUGGAGCCUUCACCCCAGGGCUGCGAGGCUGCUGUUAACAUACCGAGCAGCGUCCCUCUUCACACACAAAACUACAGAACUACACCUGCAAAGAUGUAAACUGUGAAAUUAAAAAGUAACCGCCGCUUGGUGUCGUUUGUGUUUUGCAUGCUAACAUAAUAAAUGAGAAGAGAAUUCAG
rnacentral:lncRNA from 1 species